GUGAAGAUGGAUGGAUGAAGAUGGAUGGAUGGAGAUUUAUAGGUGAAGAUGGAUGGAUGAAGAUGGAUGGAUGGAGAUUUAUAGGUGAAGAUGGAUGGAUGAAGAUGGAUGGAUGGAGAUUUAUAGGUGAAGAUGGACGGAUGAAGAUGGACGGAUGGAUGGAGAUGGAUGAGUGGAGAUGGAUGGAUGAGUGAAGAUGGAUGGAUGGAGAUGGACGGAUGAAGAUGGACGGAUGAAGAUGGAUGGAUGGAGAUUUAUGGAUGAAGAUGGACGGAUGAAGAUGGAUGGAUGGAGAUUUGUAGGUGAAGAUGGAUGGAUGAAGAUGGAUGGAUGGAUGGAUGGAGAUGGAUGAGUGGAGAUGGAUGGAUGGAGAUGGAUGAAGAUGGACGGAUGAAGAUGGAUGGAUGGAGAUUUGUAGGUGAAGAUGGAUGGAUGAAGAUGGAUGGAUGGAUGAGUGGAGAUGGAUGGAUGGAGAUGGAUGAGUGGAGAUGGAUGGAUGGAGAUGGAUGAAGAUGGAUGGAUGGAUGAAGAUGGACGGAUGAAGAUGGAUGGAUGGAGAUUUGUAGGUGAAGAUGGACGGAUGAAGAUGGAUGGACGGAUGGAUGGAGAUGGAUGAGUGGAGAUGGAUGGAUGGAUGGAAGUUUCCUGCAAUCUACACGCACAGAUGCCUUUUACCCGGCUCUAAACGAGACGUGUGGAGUCUGAAAGCCGUGAUAUUUUUCUUUACGCUCGGGCUUUAUGGAGGAAAUUGAUCCGAAGCCGUGGCGUUGUCCGUCCACAUUUUCAAACGUUUUAACGAGCGUCUCCGUCGGCCUCCCUCGUCCUGCCCGUCACGCGCUCUGCCUGGGUGUUUAAGAAAGAGCUGUAUAUUUUGGCCAUACAGCUCCAACACCAGAAACAGAUUCGCGAUUGUUUUUAAUUCUCCAUGGCUGAUCACGACUUCCGACGCCUGUCGUGUGUUUUUCUCCCCCACGCUUCUGGAUUUUAAUCACAGGGUAAUUCUUCUCUCUCUCGAGAUGCUGACUCGAAAUAAAACAUGCUCCGUCGUGCAUCGAAUAAGAAUUAAGUCACGUUUAGUGUUGGGGAUUGGCUGCGAUGGGAACCCUUCGGCUACACGACAGAUGAUUAAAUCAUCACGCCGAGCUAAUAUGGAUUCCACAUCAUGGAGAGUUGUUGUUGUCGAGAGCUGGUAGUUAAGUCUAUUGAGGCAGCUGGAGGGAAGAGAACAGUUCAGACUCCACGCUGAUGAUGAUACGCUUCCUGGUGUCUCUUCUGUCAAAAAGCCCAUCGCGUAAUGCUAACGGUCAUGCUAACGGUCAUGCUAACGGUCAUGCUAACGGUCAUGCCGAUUACCACAUUCUGUCCAUCACACCGACGUUCACGAGCGUUUUUUUUUUAAUAAAGGGCAACCACGUCAUCCUUUUCUUAUGCAUUUAUAUACACAGCCAGCUCGUUACCAGUGUGUACAUAACACCUGCUGCAUAUGUCUGGCCACGCCCCGUUAAAGCCACAGGCGAUACUGUCGUCAAUCUGCGACGUUUACGUGGCACAAUAGGAAAGUGGCAUUUUACACACACACACACACACACACACACACGCAUCUCACAACGCUACUAGAGUCUCCUUCCAUAAAUCUUGAAUAAACAUCUCCUUAUUUGAAGAAAACUUCACCGUACAAGGUGCCUCGCUUGACUUUGGAGGUUUUUUAAAUAAUCCACCCGUCUGCUUCUCUCUCUCUCUCUCUCUCUCUCUCCACUUCUUCUCUGUAUGUUUUCUGCUCUCCACCUCCACUCAUCCUCUUCCUCGUCCUGGUUCUCUCCCAGCAGCAUGGCGCCUCUGUCCCGGCCGUCUGUUCUCCCAUCUGUGUGUUCGGUUUGGUUCACUGGCCUGAGAACGGCACUCACACCUCACACGAGGAGAACCGACAGGACGGGAAAAUAAAACACACGCGCAAAUCCGAGCGUAGAAAUUCAGUAUUUAUUUAACAGUAAUCAUUUUUUUCUUCAAACGUUCGAGACAGAUCUUUCUGAACGGAGGAGCUCAUGACGAGAGUAGGGAAAGAGAAUGGAGGAAGUUCUCUGGGUGUGUCGCUGUGUGUGUCACGCCGCGGUUGGGAUUAAUCUCAGCGCCGCAUUGCGAACUCGUGCUCCAACUUGGAAUUUCUGACCUCCGACUAGGGGGGGAAAAAAGCAAAGAAAACACCUCGUCGAUUUGGAAUUCCUACUCAGUUCAGCACUUGACUUCAUGUCAACAUGGCCGCUCAGACCGUCAACAUAACCUAAACAUCACUUAGCUACUUUAACUGCGCUUAUAACAGUGUUUACUUCGGAUCAAAUGACCAUAGUCUCAUUCCUCGGUGAAAUCAGUAACAGUGUUUUGUGAAAGCAAAUACAUCAUAAACUCACGCUCAUUAACGUUAGCUAGCUUUGUUGGUAACACACUUUCGUAGGGGUGUCAUUUUUUUUUCACACUUUCAAACUAAGUUUAAUAACCGAUGAAAACCGAUAGUGAAUGAAAACGUAACACUCAAAGCUUGACGGCUGGACCGUGAAAAUGUCCUGUACUUUUUCAAUGAAAUAAAUAUAAAUUAAUAUAUAUAAACUAUUAAUAAGUAUUUAAAUAAAUAAAAGAUACACAUCCAAACUGAACCAAAAAGUAACACUUUACAAAUUUUAAUUUGUACAAACACUUUAAAUAACGAAUAAAACCGAGACGUCCAAAAUGAAUCAAAAAAACACUUCAAAUAACGCACAAAAUGAGUCAGCAAUGGGUUUUAUUUCGCCUCUAGAGGCCGCUCUCGUACCGUAUGAUGGUGGUGUGGAUUUUUUUUCCCAUAACCGAUACUUCCAGCGAUCAGUUCUGGGUGCUGAUUAAUCAGGAAAACCGAUCAAUCGACCGACCUCUACUGUCUAAUUAAUACUGACACGAUCCCGAGUUCAGACGUCCCGCUUCAGAGUUCAGACGUGUACACAGAUGUAUACGCAGACGUGUAGAUGUGUACACAGACGUAUACACAGACGUGUAGAUGUGUACACAGACGUGUAGAUGUGUACACAGACGUGUAGAUGUGUACACAGACGUAUACACAGACGUGUAGACGUGUACACAGACGUGUAGACAUGUACACAGACGUAUACACAGAUGUGUAGAUGUACGUGUAGACGUAUACACAGACGUAUACACAGAUGUGUAGACGUGUGCACAGACAUGUAGACAUGUACACAGACGUAUACACAGACGUGUAGACGUGUACACAGACAUGUACACAGACGUGUAGACGUGUACACAGACGUUAUACAUAGACGUGUAGACUUGUACACAGACGUGUACACAGACAUGUAGACGUAUACACAGACGUAUACACAGAUGUGUAGAAGUGUACACAAACGUGUAGAUGUGUACAC
ensembl:lncRNA